CGGAGGAUCCAAGCGUUAUCCGGAAUUACUGGGCGUAAAGCGUUGCGUAGGUGGCAUAGUAAGCAGGGUAUGAAAGCGUGUGGCUCAACCAUACAGCUAUAUCCUGAACUGCCAAGCUGGAGAAUGAGAGAGGUAACUGGAAUUCCAAGUGUAGGAGUGAAAUCCGUAGAUAUUUGGAGGAACACCGAUGGCGUAGGCAGGUUACUGGCUCAUUUCUGACACUAAGGCACGAAAGCGUGGGGAGCAAAUGGGAUUAGAUACCCCGGUAGUCCACGCCGUAAACGAUGGAUGCUAGCUGUGAGAAGUAUCGACCCUUCUCGUAGCGAAGCUAACGCGUUAAGCAUCCCGCCUGUGGAGUACGGUCGCAAGACUA
rnacentral:rRNA from 1 species